GCCCGGUUAGCUCAAUCGGUAGAGCGUGAGACUCUUAGGAGUACGCGAUCUCAAGGUUGCGGGUUCGACCCCCGCAUCGGGCU
rnacentral:tRNA from 2 species